rnacentral:rRNA from 1 species
AAUAUUGGACAAUGGGCGAAAGCCUGAUCCAGCCAUGCCGCGUGUGUGAAGAAGGUCUUCGGAUUGUAAAGCACUUUAAGUUGGGAGGAAGGGCAGUAACCUAAUACGUUGGUGUCUUGACGUUACCGACAGAAUAAGCACCGGCUAACUCUGUGCCAGCAGCCGCGGUAAUACAGAGGGUGCAAGCGUUAAUCGGAAUUACUGGGCGUAAAGCGCGCGUAGGUGGUUUGUUAAGUUGAAUGUGAAAUCCCCGGGCUCAACCUGGGAACUGCAUCCAAAACUGGCAAGCUAGAGUAUGGUAGAGGGUAGUGGAAUUUCCUGUGUAGCGGUGAAAUGCGUAGAUAUAGGAAGGAAC